GAUGAACGCUGGCGGCGUGCCUAAUACAUGCAAGUCGAGCGAACAGACGAGGAGCUUGCUCCGCUGACGUUAGCGGAGGACGGGUGAGUAACACGUGGAUAACCUACCUAUAAUACUGGUAUAACUUCGGGAAACGGGAGCUAAUACCGGAUAAGAUAUUGAACCGCAUGGUUCGAUAGUGAAAGACGGCUUUUCUGGCACUUAUCGAUGGAUCCGCGCCGCAUUAGCUAGUUGGUAGGGUAACGGCUUACCAAGGCGACGAUGCGUAUCCGACGUGAGUGGGUGAUCGGCCACCCGGGAGGGGGAACACCGUCAAGGGUACUACGGGAGGGAGCAGAAGGGUAUCGUCCGCAGUGGGGGAAAACAUGACGGAGUAAGGCCGCGCGAGAGAUGACGGUGCUGGGAGCGGAAAACUGUCCUACUAGUGGAGAACCAAUGUGUAAGUAACUAUGGCCGGAUUGACGGUACUUAGUCAGAAAGCACCGGCUAACUACGUG
rnacentral:rRNA from 1 species